GACCGCGUAGCUCAGUUGGCAGAGCAUUGGGCUAGUAUUCCAAAGGUCGUAGGUUCGAUUCCCAUCGUGGACA